AAGAGACAGCAGUCGCCGCGGUAAUACGAGGGGGGCAAGCGUUGUUCGGAAUUAUUGGGCGUAAAGGGUGCGUAGGCGGUUUGGCAAGUUUGGUGUGAAAUCUUCGGGCUCAACUCGAAGUCUGCAUCGAAAACUGCCGGGCUUGAGUAUGGGAGAGGUGAGUGGAAUUUCCGGUGUAGCGGUGAAAUGCGUAGAUAUCGGAAGGAACACCUGUGGCGAAAGCGGCUCACUGGACCAUAACUGACGCUGAUGCACGAAAGCUAGGGGAGCAAACAGGAUUAGAUACCCGCGUAGUCCCUGUCUCUUAUAC
rnacentral:rRNA from 1 species